AUUGAACGCUGGCGGCAUGCCUUACACAUGCAAGUCGAACGGUAACGCGGGGCAACCUGGCGACGAGUGGCGAACGGGUGAGUAAUGUAUCGGAACGUGCCCAGUAGUGGGGGAUAGCCCGGCGAAAGCCGGAUUAAUACCGCAUACGACCUACGGGUGAAAGAGGGGGAUCGCAAGACCUCUCGCUAUUGGAGCGGCCGAUAUCAGAUUAGGCAGUUGGUGGGGUAAAAGCCUACCAAGCCGACGAUCUGUAGCUGGUCUGAGAGGACGACCAGCCACACUGGGACUGAGACACGGCCCAGACUCCUACGGGAGGCAGCAGUGGGGAAUUUUGGACAAUGGGCGCAAGCCUGAUCCAGCCAUGCCGCGUGCGGGAAGAAGGCCUGG
rnacentral:rRNA from 1 species